rnacentral:rRNA from 1 species
UAGGGAAUCUUCCGCAAUGGACGCAAGUCUGACGGAGCAACGCCGCGUGAGUGAAGAAGGAUUUCGGUUCGUAAAACUCUGUUGUUAGAGAAGAACAGCGCAUAGAGUAACUGUUAUGCGUGUGACGGUAUCUAACCAGAAAGCCACGGCUAACUACGUGCCAGCAGCCGCGGUAAUACGUAGGUGGCAAGCGUUGUCCGGAUUUAUUGGGCGUAAAGCGAGCGCAGGCGGUCAAUUAAGUCUGAUGUGAAAGCCCCCGGCUCAACCGGGGAGGGUCAUUGGAAACUGGUUGACUUGAGUGCAGAAGAGGAGAGUGGAAUUCCAUGUGUAGCGGUGAAAUUCGUAGAUAUAUGGAGGAACACCAAUGGCGAAGGCGACUCUCUGGUCUGUAACUGACGCUGAGGCUCGAAAGCGUGGGUAGCAAACAGG